rnacentral:rRNA from 1 species
GACUACCGGGGUAUCUAAUCCUGUUCGAUCCCCACGCUUUCGUGCCUCAGCGUCAGUGUCGGCUCAGUAAGCUGCCUACGCAAUUGGUGUUCUGUGUAAUAUCUAAGCAUUUCACCGCUACAUUACACAUUCCGCCUACCUUAACCAAACUCAAGGCUAUCAGUAUCAAUGGCAGUUCUGCAGUUAAGCUGCAGGAUUUCACCACUGACUUAAUAGUCCGCCUACGCACCCUUUAAACCCAAUGAAUCCGGAUAACGCUCGCAUCCUCCGUAUUACCGCGGCUGCUGGCACGGAGUUAGCCGAUGCUUAUUCCCAGGGUACCGUCAAUUGCGCAACACGUGCGCAAGUUUCUCUCCCUGGAAAAGCAGUUUACAACGCAUAGCGCCGUCUUCCUGCACGCGGGAUGGCUGGUUCAGGCUUGCGCCCAUUGACCAAUAUUCCUCACUGCAGCCCCCCGUAGG